rnacentral:lncRNA from 1 species
AUUGUGCGAAAGCCAAACCAGCCGUUGCCCCAGGUCAUUCGUCGGUUGUCUGAGAUGAAGUCAGUUGAUCGUUCGAGAAGGCACAAGACAGAGAAGUCACAUUGUAUUCUCAAGAAGGAACACACACACGGUCCAAUAUUAGUGCAAUACAGAGCAUUUACUCAGUACGAGUCCAUUCAGUUUGGAAAUCUAUUCUUCUCCACUAGUGAUGCUGACAAUUGCGUAAAGAUUGGACGACAUUAUGGAUUAAUUAGGAACAUUUGCAAUGAUCUAGGACAAGACGAAAGUUCAGAACCCGUCAUACUUUUUGAGCCAUUCUCUGUUGUUCGUGAGUUCUUUGAGUACCCUCUCAAGUCAUCAGAUCUUGGUAUUGUAAAGGUCGGACUAAUUGCAUAUAAUGGGCUGAAAGCAGAGAGUGUGUCCAAAAUUUCUUGCAAGUAUGUGAGGUUACCGUAUAAGACUUCAUUUGUUCUUAUCCCCCUUCUUCAUCAGUUCCACUAGGCCUGGUUUCAGAAACAAUUCAAACUUACCAUUACAUGUCCAUGUACCUUAAACAGGACUCUACAAUGCCACCGCAGGCUACUUUUCCUUGUGACGGCAAGAUUUCAAAGUAUUUGUAGUUUGUACUAUUAAAAUCAAGGGACCCAGGCCAAUUCACUACAGCUCAUGCAGCAGCAUCCCCUCAAUCUGCGUUUGGUUCAAAUCUAGAUUUAACUGUUCAAGUAAUUUUUAUGCAAUGAAAUUUCAGAUGUUAUGUUUGUGACAACUUUUGGUCUGAAAUAGCGGCUAUCUCUGUCCUGUCUGUCUGCACACCCAUUGAUUUCUAAGACUAGACCUCCCUAAAAUACAUAUAAUCUGUUCCCGUAGUAUAUAUACAUGUACACUUUCGGCAAUUGCUUCGGGUACGUCUAGGCCUAACACAUUAAAGCUGCAGGCAACGCCCACCCAGGUGUAAAAGGAGUGGAUAUAAUAUUAUUGUCGCCUAUAUUAGGGUCGUGGAAUGAACAGCCCCCUUGGUCAUUAGAUCUAUCGAACAGGCAGACUAACUUUUAGGUGUGGAGGAACUUGAAACACGGUAUUUGGGUACAGCAGGAAUAUCUUAUUCUUAAGAAAUAUAGAACUUGCUGCUAAUUUUGCUGCUUUAUAUUGAAUUGAUCAAUGAUGCAAUUUUUGUGUUGUGUAUGUCUAGAACUGAAGAUCUGGUCAUGGGGAUAAUCGAGUAUUUUGUAGUGGAAUUUUCUAAAUCAAUUGAUGGCAAUGAAGUGGCAGUGGUCCCAGAAAACUGGUGGGAUAUGGAGGGCAACCAGUGUGUUCUCUGGCCUGAUAAAAAGUCUGCGAUGUGGAUUAACAAGGCAGCAAGGAAUGGUGACUCCCCCACCACUGAGUGGAAGUCAUCCGUUCGUGAAGACGUGCUCACGUACCAUCAUCUUGGGAAGAGGCCAACACGAAGAUGGAGAAGGUAUUGCUGACCUCCGACAUGGAAUCGCCUGCAGAAGUGGCUAAACGAAAAAGACGCAUCACAAACCCAUUCCACAGACCGUGUCCGCAAAACAACAGAAUCCUUUCGGAGCCGUUCGCCUAUUUUCGAACCCUCGUCAGUUGCCACUCCUUGUAGCAGUAGGGUCAAUACUCCGGACAUACCUGACACUGUAAAUAGGAGUCAUGCCUCUAAUGCAAUUGUUUUGGUUUUUACUGACUCUGUCCCAAGUGCCUGUGAUGACGGCAGUCUAGAAGAGCUACUUGAGCAACCUGCUUAAAAAAGUCGCACACAUGAACUACGUCAGGCCACACCAAGCGAACAGCAGCAGGUUGCUCCGACCACUCCAAGUGGACCGCAGCAGACCGCUCCGGCCACUCCAAGUGAACUGCAUGCAGCAGGCUCUCCAGCUGCACAGGUGCUGCAGACACCUACAGAGAUUCGUCGUCAGCGAGAAAUCCCUUGUGUCAAGCUGCGGUAGCACAAAGUUCAUGUCACUUGUACAUCACAUUCAAAAGUAGUCAUGCACUCACUGACGAAGAUGCGUGGGAAGACAGCGACUGCGCCAACACCAUCUUUGUGUCUCGGCUUACAGUAGUUGAAGAUGCAUUUCGCUCUGGAGCAACUCUUUCUUUUUGUGAGAAAAUUGCAUCGCCACUUGUUGUCUGCUUCAACGGGGAGGUUAGGGUGGACCAGGGAGGCCCUCAGCGAGAAUUCCUCUGUCUCGUGCUGAAGACGAUUGAGUCGAUAGUGAUGUCGCAGGUUGCGCAGGUUGACGUGGAGAAAAUUUUUGUUGCCGGAAUGUAUUGUGCUAUAACAAUAGUGCAAGCCGAAAUCUGUCCACCGUUCGUGUUGACAGUUCAGCAAGCAGCAUCACACCAGUGGGCCAGGGAAUUUUUGGACGGCUUUGAAGCCUUGAAAGUUAACACAGGAAGCCAUACAAUGAAGUGAUACACUUGUAACUGCAUUGCCUGCCACGCUCUUCUUGCUGAUAACGAUAUCGCGAGGCUCUUCACCCAUGCACCUCUGAGCGCUGCCAGAGUGAUUACACUGUUCCAG